UGGGGAAUAUUGGACAAUGGGCGCAAGCCUGAUCCAGCCAUGCCGCGUGAGUGAUGAAGGCCUUAGGGUUGUAAAGCUCUUCAACGGUGAAGAUAAUGACGGUAACCGUAGAAGAAGCCCCGGCUAACUUCGUGCCAGCAGCCGCGGUAAUACGAAGGGGGCUAGCGUUGUUCGGAAUUACUGGGCGUAAAGCGCACGUAGGCGGACAUUUAAGUCAGGGUGAAAUCCCGGAGCUCAACUCCGGAACUGCCUUUGAUACUGGGUGUCUUGAGUAUGGAAGAGGUUAGUGGAAUUGCGAGUGUAGAGGUGAAAUUCGUAGAUAUUCGCAGGAACACCAGUGGCGAAGGCGGCUAACUGGUCCAUAACUGACGCUGAGGUGCGAAAGCGUGGGGAGCAAACAGGAUUAGAUACCC
rnacentral:rRNA from 1 species